rnacentral:rRNA from 1 species
GACGUAGGGCGCGAGCGUUGUCCGGAAUUAUUGGGCGUAAAGAGCUCGUAGGCGGCCUGUCGCGUCGGCUGUGAAAACCCGAGGCUCAACCUCGGGCCUGCAGUCGAUACGGGCAGGCUAGAGUUCGGUAGGGGAGACUGGAAUUCCUGGUGUAGCGGUGAAAUGCGCAGAUAUCAGGAGGAACACCGGUGGCGAAGGCGGGUCUCUGGGCCGAUACUGACGCUGAGGAGCGAAAGCGUGGGGAGCGAACAGG